rnacentral:rRNA from 1 species
GAUGAACGCUGGCGGCGUGCCUAAUACAUGCAAGUCGAGCGAACGGACGAGAAGCUUGCUUUUCUGAUGUUAGCGGCGGACGGGUGAGUAACACGUGGAUAACCUACCUAUAAGACUGGGAUAACUUCGGGAAACCGGAGCUAAUACCGGAUAAUAUUUUGAACCGCAUGGUUCAAAAGUGAAAGACGGUCUUGCUGUCACUUAUAGCUGGAUCCGCGCUGCAUUAGCUACGUGGUAAGGUAACGGCUUACCAAGGCAACGAUGCAUAGCCGACCUGAUGGGGUUGUCGGCCACCCUGGAACUUGGAAACGGUCCAGUCUCCUACGGGAGGCAGCAGUAGGGAAACUUCCGCAAUGGGCGAAAGCCCGACGGAGCAACGCCGCGUGAGUGAUGAAGGGCUUCGGAUCGUAAAACUCUGUUAGUAGGGAAGAACAUAUGUGUAAUUAACUGUGCACAGCUUGACGGUACCUAAUCAGAUAGCCACGGCUAACUACGGG